ACGAACGCUGGCGGCGUGCUUCACACAUGCACGUCGAACGGAAAGGCCCUGCUUUUGUGGGGUGCUCGAGUGGCGAACGGGUGAGUAACACGUGAGUAACCUGCCCUUGACUUUGGGAUAACUUCAGGAAACUGGGGCUAAUACCGGAUAGGAGCUCCUGCUGCAUGGUGGGGGUUGGAAAGUUUCGGCGGUUGGGGAUGGACUCGCGGCUUAUCAGCUUGUUGGUGGGGUAGCGGCUUACCAAGGCUUUGACGGGUAGCCGGCCUGAGAGGGUGACCGGCCACAUUGGGACUGAGAUACGGCCCAGACUCCUACGGGAGGCAGCAGUGGGGAAUAUUGCACAAUGGGCGGAAGCCUGAUGCAGCAACGCCGCGUGCGGGAUGACGGCCUUCGGGUUGUAAACCGCUUUCGCCUGUGACGAAGCGUGAGUGACGGUAAUGGGUAAAGAAGCACCGGCUAACUACGUG
rnacentral:rRNA from 1 species